rnacentral:rRNA from 1 species
ACUCCUACGGGAGGCAGCAGUAGGGAAUCUUCCACAAUGGGCGCAAGCCUGAUGGAGCAACACCGCGUGAGUGAAGAAGGGUUUCGGCUCGUAAAGCUCUGUUGUUAAAGAAGAACACGUAUGAGAGUAACUGUUCAUACGUUGACGGUAUUUAACCAGAAAGUCACGGCUAACUACGUGCCAGCAGCCGCGGUAAUACGUAGGUGGCAAGCGUUAUCCGGAUUUAUUGGGCGUAAAGAGAGUGCAGGCGGUUUUCUAAGUCUGAUGUGAAAGCCUUCGGCUUAACCGGAGAAGUGCAUCGGAAACUGGAUAACUUGAGUGCAGAAGAGGGUAGUGGAACUCCAUGUGUAGCGGUGGAAUGCGUAGAUAUAUGGAAGAACACCAGUGGCGAAGGCGGCUACCUGGUCUGCAACUGACGCUGAGACUCGAAAGCAUGGGUAGCGAACAGGAUUAGAUACCCUGGUAGGAACCC